UAACAGCCAGGCACUGUACAGAAUCAUUUAUCACAUAGACAAUUUGUACACUUCAUAGUCUAAAAUGAUUGUACCACUGCAGAAUGAACCAGUUUUAAUCCUUUUCAAUAAAGCACAUUUAGUAACUCAAACUACACCUGCAUAGAAGGUUCGAAAUCAAAAUAGAGCAUACCUACAUCCAGCAUAGAAGGUUCAGCAGAAAAGGCAUUUGUAUCAGGAGGCACACAAGCUUCAUAUUCACUGAACAACCAGCUGUCAUACUCAUUGUCCUUGUGCUGGACUUCAGUGCUUUCACCCAACUGGGAACUUAACUGCUUCAUAAUUGUGGGCUUGCGGUUG
rnacentral:lncRNA from 1 species